AAGUCAGCAGCGCAUCUCCAGCCAUUCGAAUUUCCUUCCGUUUCAAACACAGCCGAGGCGUCCCAGAUUUCAGCUCCCAAUCGCGACCAGAUCAGCAGAGAUCGUGCCAGCUAUCUGCGAAGCAUCUUCCUAGAUUCCGCAUCAGCGUGCCAGCCAGCCCAUCCGCCAUCAGAUCUGCCUUUUUUUUAAAGCAACGCCAACAGCCUGCAAAAGAGGGAAAAGUUUGAUUUAUUCCUUGCUGAACCGGGCUCCUGGAGGAUUAUAAAAGCUGAGGAUUUUUCAGAGGAAGGGGAGUCUUUGGGGAGGGGGGAGAAGGAGAGCUCUGUUCAAAGAAAGGGCCAAGAGAAAGCCAAGAACAGGGGAGACUCUGUUCUUGGAAAGAAGAAUAAAAAAAGGAGGGGGGAGAGAAUAUUUUGGGAUAUUUUGGGAAUAGAGGGAGCGGAACGGGAGCAGAAGAUUUUCAUAUGAAGAUGGGAGGUCGUCCGGAAGCUAUGCACGGCUGAACAUCUAGUCUAGGGCUGGAUGAAGCCCUAGCAAUGUAACAGGGCAUUUGUUGUUCUCACUCUUUUAAUUUUUUUGGAGCUUGUUUAAAUUCUUAUUAUCAAUGAAAAACUCCUUUACG
rnacentral:lncRNA from 1 species